CAGAGGGAAAAAACCCAGGCGUUGCAGCAGACUGGGCAGAAAACAAUGUGGUAUAGGGUCGGCCUGAGGAGUCUGCAA